GCCUUUGUGGUGUAGUGGUCAACACACUCGGCACGUAUUCGAGAGGUCCGCGGUUCGAGUCCCGGCGAGGGUA
rnacentral:tRNA from 1 species